GACGAACGCUGGCGGCGUGCUUAACACAUGCAAGUCGAACGGAAAGGCCCUGCUUUUGUGGGGUGCUCGAGUGGCGAACGGGUGAGUAACACGAGAGUAACCUGCCCUUGACUUUGGGAUAACUUCGGGAAACUGGGGCUAAUACCGGAUAGGAGCUCCUGCUGCAUGGUGGGGGUUGGAAAGUUUCGGCGGUUGGGGAUGGACUCGCGGCUUAUCAGCUUGUUGGUGGGGUAGUGGCUUACCAAGGCUUUGACGGGUAGCCGGCCUGAGAGGGUGACCGGCCACAUUGGGACUGAGAUACGGCCCAGACUCCUACGGGAGGCAGCAGUGGGGAAUAUUGCACAAUGGGCGGAAGCCUGAUGCAGCAACGCCGCGUGCGGGAUGACGGCCUUCGGGUUGUAAACCGCUUUCGCCUGUGACGAAGCGUGAGUGACGGUAAUGGGUAAAGAAGCACCGGCUAACUACGUG
rnacentral:rRNA from 1 species